CCUACGGGUGGCAGCAGUGGGGAAUAUUGGACAAUGGGGGCAACCCUGAUCCAGCCAUGCCGCGUGUGUGAAGAAGGCCCUCGGGUUGUAAAGCACUUUCAGUGAGGAAGAACGCCUGGUGGUUAAUACCCAUCAGGAAAGACAUCACUCACAGAAGAAGCACCGGCUAACUCCAUGCCAGCAGCCGCGGUAAUACGGAGGGUGCGAGCGUUAAUCGGAAUUACUGGGCGUAAAGCGCGCGUAGGUGGCUUGAUAAGCCGGUUGUGAAAGCCCCGGGCUCAACCUGGGAACGGCAUCCGGAACUGUCAAGCUAGAGUGCAGGAGAGGAAGGUAGAAUUCCCGGUGUAGCGGUGAAAUGCGUAGAGAUCGGGAGGAAUACCAGUGGCGAAGGCGGCCUUCUGGACUGACACUGACACUGAGGUGCGAAAGCGUGGGUAGCAAACAGGAUUAGAUACCCCUGUAGUC
rnacentral:rRNA from 1 species